rnacentral:rRNA from 1 species
GAUGAACGCUGGCGGCGUGCCUAAUACAUGCAAGUCGAGCGAACAGAUGAUGAGCUUGCUCCUCUGACGUUAGCGGCUGACGGGUGAGUAACACGUGGAUAACCUACCUAUAUGACUGGGAUAACUUCGGGAAACCGGAGCUACUACCAGCUAAUAUAUUGAACCGCAUGGUUCAAUAGUUCAAGACGGUUUUGCUGUCACUUAUAGCUGGAUCCGCGCCGCAUUAGCUAGUUGGUAAGGUAACGGCUUACCAAGGCAACGAUGCGUAGCCGACCUGAGAGGGUGAUCGGCCACACUGGAACUGAGACACGGUCCAGACUCCUACGGGAGGCAGCAGUAGGGAAUAUUCCGCAAUGGGCGAAAGCCUGACGGAGCAACGCCGCGUGAGUGAUGAAGGUCUUCGGAUCGUAAAACUCUGUUAUUAGGGAAGAACAAAUGUGUAAGUAACUAUGCACGUCUUGACGGUACCUAAUCAGAAAGCCACGGCUAACUACGUG